rnacentral:lncRNA from 1 species
UCGCUAAGCUUCAGAUGGCCAUUAAUUUUAUCCAUCAUUUGUAUCGAUACAGGUUCUUUUUAUCAUUAUUAUUUUGUUUUUAAUAACUCAAAGCUUCUUUUACUUACGUGUUUCUAUGUACCUAUGGUUUAAAGGUGGUCAAAUGAAAAAAAGAGAGUAAUGUUUCCAUGUGGAUCAGAUGUUCAAAUCUCAGAAGACACCAGAGUUGAUAACUCUGCUGGUCACUAGAGUGGUUGUUAUAUUCUCAAGGUUGUUGGCUUGGAUACUGCUCACAUUAUGGAUUUAAAUCAUCUUGGAAGAGGGAGUGGUCAAAGAGUUUUAUUUUUCUAUA